rnacentral:lncRNA from 1 species
AGUUAUUGUUGCAAACUCCAUUAGAAAUUUGAAUUGAUAUCAGUUUUGAAAAAGGGAAACGGGGAUGUGAAAAAAAAGGGGGGGGGGUAAAUUUUUCUUCAUUCACAUUUCAUAAAUAAAAAGAAAAUUUCUUCAAACAUUUUUUUGAGAGGAUUAAUAUUCAACAGCAUAGUGAUUUGCUCAAAGGCAAAAAAAACCUUUUAAGUUCAUUAGACCACAUUCAUUCUGUGUCAGAAAC